rnacentral:rRNA from 1 species
UACGUAGGGGGCAAGCGUUAUCCGGAUUUACUGGGUGUAAAGGGAGCGUAGACGGACCGGCAAGUCUGAUGUGAAAGGCGGGGGCUCAACCCCUGGACUGCAUUGGAAACUGUUAGUCUUGAGUGCCGGAGAGGUAAGCGGAAUUCCUAGUGUAGCGGUGAAAUGCGUAGAUAUUAGGAGGAACACCAGUGGCGAAGGCGGCUUACUGGACGGUAACUGACGUUGAGGCUCGAAAGCGUGGGGAGCAAACAGG